rnacentral:rRNA from 1 species
UACAGAGGGGGCAAGCGUUGUUCGGAAUUACUGGGCGUAAAGGGCGCGUAGGCGGGGAGGUAAGUCGGGUGUGAAAUCCCUCGGCCCAACCGAGGAACUGCGCCCGAGACUGCUUCUCUUGAGUCCCGGAGAGGAAGAUGGAAUUCCCGGUGUAGCGGUGAAAUGUGUAGAGAUCGGGAGGAACACCGGUGGCGAAGGCGGUCUUCUGGACGGUGACUGACGCUGAGGCGCGAAAGCGUGGGGAGCAAACGGG